CACAUGGAGACCUCAAAGAACGAACAA
rnacentral:piRNA from 1 species